rnacentral:rRNA from 1 species
AGAGCUCGUAGGCGGUUUGUCGCGUCUGCCGUGAAAGUCCGGGGCUCAACUCCGGAUCUGCGGUGGGUACGGGCAGACUAGAGUGAUGUAGGGGAGACUGGAAUUCCUGGUGUAGCGGUGAAAUGCGCAGAUAUCAGGAGGAACACCGAUGGCGAAGGCAGGUCUCUGGGCAUUAACUGACGCUGAGGAGCGAAAGCAUGGGGAGCGAACAGGAUUAGAUACCCUGGUAGUCCAUGCCGUAAACGUUGGGCACUAGGUGUGGGGGACAUUCCACGUUUUCCGCGCCGUAGCUAACGCAUUAAGUGCCCCGCCUGGGGAGUACGGCCGCAAGGCUAAAACUCAAAGGAAUUGACGGGGGCCCGCACAAGCGGCGGAGCAUGCGGAUUAAUUCGAUGCAACGCGAAGAACCUUACCAAGGCUUGACAUGAACCGGUAAUACCUGGAGACAGGUGCCCCGCUUGCGGUCGGUUUACAGGUGGUGCAUGGUUGUCGUCAGCUCGUGUCGUGAGAUGUUGGGUUAAGUCCCGCAACGAGCGCAACCCUCGUUCUAUGUUGCCAGCACGUGAUGGUGGGGACUCAUAGGAGACUGCCGGGGUCAACUCGGAGGAAGGUGGGGACGACGUCAAAUCAUCAUGCCCCUUAUGUCUUGGGCUUCACGCAUGCUACAAUGGCCGGUACAAAGGGUUGCGAUACUGUGAGGUGGAGCUAAUCCCAAAAAGCCGGUCUCAGUUCGGAUUGGGGUCUGCAACUCGACCCCAUGAAGUCGGAGUCGCUAGUAAUCGCAGA